rnacentral:lncRNA from 1 species
CUUCCAGUCGUCCGAACAGCUGAGCGGCUGUUUCAGGGGUUUUCUCUUUUGCCCAAACGCCACCUAAUAAAGUUCUGAAAGGCUGAAGAAAAAAGACCUUUCAGACUUCUAGGCCUUCAACGAGGUGCCCUGAAGAGAGCGCAGGAUGGCGCCCAGGGGUGGCGAAGGGGGCUCCUCCUGGGUCCCACUUGGCACGGGGCAGUCCGCAUCCCUGUCCAGCCGCUGAUGUCGCCGGGUCGAAGCAGCUGGAGUCCACGGUCGCGAGGCCACCGGCCUCUCGGCGUUUCUCCAGCCUGUCAGCUUCCGGCCAGCCCACGCCAGCAUCUGUCGUCAGGCAGAGAAGCCACAAAGGUGCUUGCUGCCAAGGACCAAGACAACGCAGAAGCCGAAGGGGAAGACGACCUGCAGGUGCCGGAGGUCCACGGCCGGGGCCUUGUGGUGACCGCGGGAGCCUGGCUCCUCAGCCGCGUGGGCGUCAAGAUCCGGGUCCUCCUGCCGGCGGCCGUUCGCUUCCGGCGGCCGCUUUCCCGCCACCGCCGCCGCGGCCCCGGGCCUGGGCGAGCCUGACUCCUCCACCGCGGUGCGGGGGAUGGAAGGAGCCGGAGAGGAGGUGCAGACGGUUCGUGAAUGUGUUGUUUUCUGUGCGGCCAAGAGAACACAACAAGCAUUUUGUGCAGUGAUGACCGAAUUUCCCUGUGGCCAGCCUACUGUGUGGUUUACACGUGGGACGCCUACCACAGCAUGGCUGCCAAGCAGUGCCAUGUCCGCACCCGGGAUCCGAACCAGCGAACCCUGGGCCGCCAAGAAGCGGAACGUGCGAACUUAACCGCUGCGCCACCGGGCCGGCCCCACAGAGUAGUUAUUUAAAGGAAACACUGUAUGUUUGAAGAGCAGAAGGAAGAAGUGGGAAUUCGAAAUCUGAGAUGAACUUUCAGUUCGUUCUGUUUGGUAGAUGCUUCUAAUUUCUGCUGCAAGUAAAGAGCCAUUAAAUAAAUGUUAAAGGCAGUUGCUCCAUUCAUGGGAGGUGCAGUAAAGCUUUUAAAUAGAACAGAAAAUAAAGGGUGUCUUUGACUCUUCAUGGAGUCCUUAAUGGUUUCCUACUCUGGAUGAAAAACAAAAAACCUUCUUCUGUUCCUAGCAGCUGUUACCAUGUUUUCACAUACCUUAAUCCAAGGAGUUUUGAAUUUUGUUUCCUAGUUGACUAUUUUUUAAGACUUUGACUUGGGGAUUAAGAAUUACAAUUUAAAGUUGUGAGUUUUUUUGGAUGAGUUAGGCAGGGGGAGUAGGUUGAGCUGCUGGGAAGUGGGAUGGCUCCAGGAAUAGUUUAAUCCAGAAUUGUUGGUCACAGCGUCAGCAAACAAUACAUUUUAAAAGAUUUUAUGAGUUAAAAUCUGGCCUAAUUAUCCUUAAAAAUGAAGCUAAGAAUGAGCUAAGCAUUAAAAUUUAUGUACUGUGUAUAAAUUUCUUUUCCUUCUCACGUUACUGAGAAUAUGAUGCACAAAUGUGGUAUCACUAUUUGGUUUGCUUUGGACAUUUUAUUGUCUUGCUUUAUUUAAAAUUCCUUUUCUAGAGGAUGAACAUCACAAUUGAAUUAUCUGCCAAGCUCCUUUAAGUUAUCUUUGUAACUUAGCUAAAUAUACCUUUGUUAAAAACAAAACAUUUUCAAUAAAAUAUCUGUAACAUAAUUACACAAAAU